rnacentral:tRNA from 1 species
GCCGGUGUGUCGGAACUGGCAGACGACCGCGACUCAAAAUCGCGUGCCUGGAAGGGCGUGUGGGUUCGAUCCCCACCACCGGCACCA